UGGCUACAUGGGAAAAGCUACGCUUUCGAGCGUUACUGUAGGUUCGACUCCUAUGGGCACCA
rnacentral:tRNA from 1 species